rnacentral:rRNA from 1 species
UACGUAGGGUGCAAGCGUUGUCCGGAAUUAUUGGGCGUAAAGAGCUCGUAGGCGGUUUUGUCGCGUCUGCUGUGAAAACUCGGGGCUCAACUCCGAGCUUGCAGUGGGUACGGGCAGACUAGAGUGCGGUAGGGGAGACUGGAAUUCCUGGUGUAGCGGUGGAAUGCGCAGAUAUCAGGAGGAACACCGGUGGCGAAGGGCGGGGUCUCUGGGGCCGUAACUGACGCUGAGGAGCGAAAGCAUGGGGAGCGAACAGG